UUGUAUACACGCUCAUUUUUUUCUAACCAUUUUCGAGUUUUUUUCAACCGUUUUCUGAUUUUCCUUCGGAAACUUCGAAAAUUGUUAUUUUUCAAACGGAAUGAAUUGUUAAAUUUCAAGCGUUUUCAGAGUUUCAGUGGAAAACCAUAAUAAUGGUUAAAAAAUGUUCCGUUCCGCCAUUGUUCAUUUUUUCAAAUCGACUUGGAAGAUUAUACUCCGGUUUUCUUUCUAUUCAUUUGGUGCAAAUUGUGUUCAGAUGCCGACGUGUUUUGCACGAAAACUUGAAAGGAUUGUUUUAGAAUAACGAGCACAAAAAAAGAAACUAUUUGGAACCAAAAAUCAAAGAGAAUCUCAUACAUGAUGGGAGAUAACAUACAUCCGGUGUUUCCGAUGGCUCAAACUGCUUCUUACGAAACACUUUCUCCUUCCGAAAAAAAUGAUCCGCUACUUAAGAAAAUGGAAAGAUUCAUGGAGUAUUUCGUGCUGGAAGUUGUGCUCCAACUUAGUUCUUGGCCUCCAAAGAACAAUCACUACCAGUGAAACCAGCCUUGAUGGACUGUGACCGAAUAUUAUGGGUGCUUCUUUUUUUAAUAUCAAUUCCAUUGGCACGUAAUCUGGGUACAUAUUAUGACAAAUUAUAAUAAUUUAUGUUUGAUUUCAAUAAAUACCUUAAAAAUAUCCGU